rnacentral:rRNA from 1 species
UACGAAGGGGGCAAGCGUUGUCCGGAUUUAUUGGGCGUAAAGAGCGUGUAGGCGGCCAGGUAGGUCCGUUGUGAAAACUGGAGGCUUAACCUCCAGACGUCGACGGAAACCGCGUGGCUAGAGUCCGGAAGAGGAGAGUGGAAUUCCUGGUGUAGCGGUGAAAUGCGCAGAUAUCAGGAAGAACACCAAUGGCGAAGGCAGCUCUCUGGGACGGUACUGACGCUGAGACGCGAAAGCGUGGGGAGCGAACAGG